CUCCUCCCCCCCACCACCCUUUUUAGAUAUCUGAUUUAGGUGCCUUCUCAGUGGUCAUACUGUUUUAUUGUGGGGGGCCAUUUUACCUGCAUUUCUCCGUUCUUUGACCUUCCACCUAAUGUCUUUUAUGCGCUCUAUGUCCAUAAGUUUGGCCUGCUUUGUCUGUGCCCAUAGAUUGGCCUGCUUUGCCUGUGCCCAUAAGAUUGGCCUGCUUUGUCUGUG